GAAAUGCGAUAAGUAAUGUGAAUUGCAGAAUUCAGUGAAUCAUCGAAUCUUUGAACGCACAUUGCGCCCGCCAGUAUUCUGGCGGGCAUGCCUGUCCGAGCGUCAUUUCAACCAUCAAGCCCCCGGGCUUGUGUUGGGGACCUGCGGCUGCCCGCAGGCCCUGAAAACCAGUGGCGGGCUCGCUGUCACACCGAGCGUAGUAGCAUUCACCUCGCUCAGGGCGUGCUGCGGGUUCCGGCCGUUAAACAGCCUUACAAAACCCAAGGUUGACCUCGGAUCAGGUAGGAAGACCCGCUGAACUUAAGC
rnacentral:misc_RNA from 1 species